CAGAGCGGGAAAACCGAAAGGAGUACGUAAGAAGAAGCCUGAGGUCACAACUUGCUCCAUACACAAGGGAGAGGCUGAUACGGCACUUUGAGAGCAAGGCACAGAUCCUGACCCCAGGCUUACAUGAUGAGGCCCAGUGCAGAGUGCCCAGGAGUGUAGUGCACACCACCCGUAUCACACCUGCUAUCACAGCAGUGCCAGGACCAGUUCUGGACCACCCUGGAGACCCUGCUUUACGUUAAACAUUUUUCAGUAGUCACUGAGUAAGUGAAAUGUACAAAUGUUAAGUUUAUAAUUUACCCAUUUCUUCCACAGGAUAUUCUUGCCGAAUCAUUUUGGAGUGAGUACCUUGCUUAAGGGUGCAGAACUGCAGCAGCACAUUCAUCAUUUGAAACAUGGCGAUAAUUCAUGUUAUACAGCUUUUUGGUCUCAUUUUAGACCUACUGUUUUUACAAGGAAAUUAACG
rnacentral:lncRNA from 1 species